UAAUUUUAAAGGUUUAACCGGAAGCGAAGUGUUGGAUUAAGGCUGACUUGACGCCGAAUAGCAAUGUCCGACUUCAUACCUGACAGGAACAAUCCUGGCUUCUCCUAAACAACAUAUUCAUUACUCCAGCAACAGCAGGACGGAUGUUCAUCAUCAUCUUCAUCAUCACAGUAACGUCUGACAGCCGUCGUGCAGUAGGGCCAAUAAGCAGCGGAUGCGGCUGGCACCCGGCUGCAGGCGGCCCUCUCAAUGGUCUCUCCCACCAUGAAAGCGUUGGUGGAUGCUGUAUGGGCGGUGUGGAGCAUCGGGGCCUCCAUUUAUGACUACAUCCACACCAACGCCAUGGAGGAGCGCAUCCACGCCCUGGAGAACGUCAUCACCAUCCACCAGUGUGUGAUUGGACUUCUGUCAGCAGGCGUAUUGGUACUCUUCACCUACAUCCUCUUCAAGAAGCUCUGAAGAUGUGUGGAGGGGUGGGCUGGGGGUGACGUGGGGGUGGUAGACCGACAAGAAUCAGACAUGAGUGUCAAGGGUGGUAAAGCAAACACUGGUGAGACAGACAAAGGGGAGUUUCUUACACAUUGGGUACAUUACACAGACUCGUAAGAGCUGAAGGGCACAUGUAGGAGAGUGUACAGUGAGGGAGGAGACAGUAAGGAGGAGAUGGCGUUGGACCUAACAUAUACUCGGGGACACAGGAGGUAGGAAGGUGCAGCAUUAUGUGUUAAAAGAUCCAGAUGGUAAUUUUUAACAUCAAGCUAUUUUGGGGAAAACAGAUUGAGGUUCAUGUCCUCUCUCAGUAAUGUAGGAGUGGCUGUGGAGGAUGUGAGCAUGUGGAGCUACAGGGUCCAGCUGUUUUUUUUUUAUUGGCCGGUAUAGAUAGUAUUUUUACUGACGCUGACAGAUUACAUGUGCCAGUAUUCAAAAUAUUCAAAUUUUUAUUGAAGGGACAGCUCACCCCAAAAUUGAAACAAUAUAUUUUUCUUCUUACCUGUAGCGUUGUUUGUAAGUCUAGAUUGUUUUGGUGUGAGUUGACUAGAUGGCACUCGGCUUGUGGCGCUCGAAUCUCCAAACAUUUGAAACACUCGCUGACUGUAUUACUGUGCUGAAGGAAGUGUGCAUCUACUCAUUGAAGAGAGGCCUGUGCUCCAGAUGUACACAUUAAUGGUGUCCUCCUCAGCUGAGCAGUAGCCAAACAGCAUCCUCCGGGGCUGGAAAAUGAAGCCAAUGUGAAGUUCUUUGAGGUCACUUGAGGCUAGCUCCAAAAACGAGCCCAUCCCCACAGACCCCCAUGUUAAAAUGCCCAACUUUACAGCAGAUCUCUGUGGCUCAUUUCAACAUUCGUGACAACUGUGUCGUGCAGGGGAGAGUAAUAAAAAAUACGUUUUGAGUGACAGACUGCCUGCAAGUCAUCACUGUAGUCUGAGUCCGACCCGCCCCUCGCUCUUCUACAGCUCCACCCUCUCAUCCAAAUAUGGUCACCUCUGUUUCCAAAAAUCCAAGAUGGCGACGGCCAAAAUGUCACACUUGAGGCUUCAAAAUGGCAGUCCACAAACCAAUGAGUGACAUCACCGUAGCUACAUCUAUUAUUUUAUUUAGUCUACUGUUGUAACAUUAGCUAGCCCAGUGGUGCUAGGUGAGCUAGCAGUAGAAGCACGCUUCCUUCUGUGCAGUGAUACAGUUGGCAGGUGUAGUUCAGUAUGAAGAAAAUAGUUCCUUCAUGAAACUGCUCACAACAAGGUCUGUGGAUUAUCUCUAGUAACUGGGUCAUGAUUUCUCUAAAGAGUCAUUGCUGUUGAGUUUUUCAAAUGUAUUUUUUUUUUU